CCCAAUUAAUGAGUGGCUUUCAAGGUAGCUCACAAUUUUGUUUCUAAUUAUGCUCUCAAGUAGCUUACCUACAACUGAAGUUAGACUAAUGGGUCUGUAAUUACCUGGUAUUUUUUUUCUCCUUUCUUAAAAAUCGGUGUCACGUUAGCCUUUUUCCAAUCCGAAGGGACAAUACCAUGUCGCAAGGACGUAUUGAAUACGGUUGUGAGGGAGGAGACUAUUUCGCUCUUUGUUUCUUUGAGCAGUAUAGGAUAUACUUUUUCAGGUCCGGGACUUUUAUUUGUUUUAAGUGAAUGGAAAGCUUUAAGGACUUCAUCGGUUGUUAUUUCAAAAUUAGGCAAUGCAUGCUCGAGAUUUACAAUAGUACUGGUGUUGGUGGUAGUGGGAGGAAGACUGUUAGUAUUAAACGCCGAGGAAAAGUAAUUGUUUAAGAGGUUUGCAAUGUGUUGGCUGUCAGUCACUAGUGCACCGUUGCUGUUUGUUAAAGGUCCAAUUCCACUUCUGCCAGGCCCGUAUCCUCGACAACUAUUAAUACUAAACUUGGUAUUAACUUUCGACUUUGGUAUUAACUUCACUCUCAAAGUGUAUCCUCAACAACUAUUAGCCUAAUACCUACUCUUAACUUUGGUAUUAACUUGAGAGUGCUGGCGAGGACUUCUAAACACUUAAUAGUAAAGUUAAUAGUGAAACCCAGACCCAGACCCAUAUCAACAUGGCCCCCGGACUUCCUCGUCCAGCCCGCCUCCGCAAUUUAGAGUUUGAUAGGGCGCUUUGGAACUGUAUAACGAUGGUGAACUUCUCAAGACAUACAUAUUAGACCGUGCAGGAAUGGAGUAUGUGACUGAUUUGGUGAGAAGAGAGCUACAAGAUCCAGUUCAAAGGGAGCAUUCCCGCACCCCGGGGUUGAAAGUGAUUUUGACUUAAAGGUACUUGGCUACAGGAAAAAUGCUGCAGUGUUCAAGUAAUGAGUUAGGGGGUAAGCCAGAGUAGUGUAAGCAGGGUGAUUGUGGAAACUCUGGCCGCCCUCAGUGACCCGUAGGUAGUCGGGAGGUUUAUCCAGUCUCCCCUUGAUAGGGUGGAGAUCCGUGUAAAGCAAGCAGAAUUCUACCAACUUGCCGGUGUUGUGGGAGUGAUAGACUGUACCCAUGUGAAAAUAAUGGCACCAAAGGAAAACGAUGUAGUUUAUGUCAACAGAAAAAAAAAAUAAACAUAGCUUGAAUAUACAAUUAGUGUUUGAUGCCUUUGUUAUUGAUUAAAAUGUGAAAUAUUCGAGUUAAGGAAAACAAAACAUGGGAAAAAAACUUUUAUUUGUAGCAGAAAGGUACACACAUGCAAAUGAAAAAGAUGACAUUAAAAUUGCAUUAAAAUGUCAUUUAGAAUAUGAUUUAUAAUUAUUGCUGCCGGUUAUUCAUAUUGAGAUAAUGGUCGAGGUGACCACAUCGCGAACAUCAUGACUUAUGAGUGAAGUAAAACGAGGUUACUUGGUUUCUGUUUACAAAGUUCCAAGUGGAAAAACAACUUUAUUGUGAAUUCAGUGUAUACUUUUCUGGAGUAUUGUGUUUACUGAGUGAAUUGGUGACCAAUCUGUUGCUAUUUGUGUCUUGCUUGAAGAUAUUCAUCAUUGGAUUCAAAGCUAUGGUAUUAAUGUGCAAUAGUCAUCAUAACAAAAUACGUAGUAAUUAAUUAUAUAUGUCAACCUAUUUAUUUUCAUGAGAUCAUGGUAUGACCACUGAAAAACAUAGCUAUUUAUCUUGGCUCCAUUACAAAUUCAGUAUAUAAUUACUCUAUUAGUGGAAUCUAGUUUUCAGCAUCUUUUAUUAUUAUGCCAAUAUUCUAAGCACUCAGCUUGCAAACAUGCUUAGGUUUAUGUUGUCAGUUUGGGUCGGACUUAUGUGAACACUUUACCAAGUGACCUAAGAUUACUCAAUGCUCGCAAAGCUAUGGUAUUAACGUGCAAUGGUCAUCAUACCAAAAUACGUAGUAAUUAAUUAUAUAUGUCAACCUAAUUAUUUUCAUGAGAUCAUGGUAUGACCGCUGAAAACAUAGCUUUUUUAUCUUAGCUCCAUUACAAAUUCAGUAUAUAAUUAUUCAUAUAUUCAAUAAAGUAGUGGAAUCCAGUUUUCAGCAUCUUUUAUUAUUAUGCCAAUAUUCUAAACACUCAGCUUGCAAACACGCUUAGGUUUAUGUUGUCAGCUUGGGUCGGACUUAGGUGAACACUUUACCAAGUGACCUAAGAUUACUCAAUGCUACCCUAUAGGUAUACUACAUCUUUGAUUGUGAGUUCAUCAGAGAGCACUGGAGAGCAGCAUGAGUCUAAUUAGGUGCUAAUGAAUAUCCUGCCUGCAUCACAGACUACAUAAAAUGCAAAUAUGAUCAGUGCCUAAAGGUGUUAUAAGCUAAUGAUGGUAAAUAUAUAUAUAUAUAUAUAUAUAUAUAUAUAUAUAUAUAUAUAUAUAUAUAUAUAUAUAUAUAUAUAUAUAUAUAUAUAUAUAUAUAUAUAAAACUGUCUGCCCUAAUGUCCCUCCCACUUUUGAAGGCCAAAUGACGCCCCUGAUUGUAACAACGCAUCUUGUAACACCCAUGACUGGGUGCCGGUGCAAAUCUCCUCAUUUAACACCGAGAAAUUAAUCUAGGCUCUAGGGAACUCGGAAAAAUCCAAGUUAGAGAGUGCUGGCUGUGGAGAUUGAACCAGUGACCUUCGACAUACAAAGCCAUGUCUGUCAGUCGAGCCAAUAAAGGUAAAGGUAAAGUUGGGGCAUACGCUAUAGCAGCGCGUGGCCUCGGUGCUCAUCUCCGUAACAUUGGGCCUUGAGCCUGUGGUGAGAGGGAGCCCAUUACCCCGGGACACAGGGCCAGUGUGACAUCCGGGCUACCACAGUUUCCCCAGGUAGUCAUUUAUCGACCAGCCCGAGAGGGAGGAUGAUCAGCUGGGUGAGCUGCACGCCGACUGCCCAGGCCGGGAUUCGAACCCGGGCCCAUGUAGAAGCCAGGCAUGCUGACCACUAGACCACGGAGGCGUAUUGGAGCCCAAUCUCAAGUGAACCCACUCACAAUGGCACACAAUUUUUUUCCGGUAAAUUUUGUGCUUUGAAUGAAUUUGCUAAUCAUUUCUGUCGAAAAACAGCACAAAUUAUUUUUCACCCCUUCCACCCUAACCUCCUCAGUAAUAAAAAAAAAAAAGUGACAAAAUCAUAGCCUUGAGGCAGUAAUAUUCAGCCCCAGCAUCAAAAAAUUAUACUGCUGCCCUAUGAAAGGCAUCUCUUAACUCCGAUGAAGUAGGUGGUGACUGGUGGAGCAGCUUCAUUGUCAUCCCUUGCAGUGGCAGGUGUCAUUGGGCCAGCAGAUGAUGAAGCAGUGGCUGGUGUCAUAGGGCCAGCAGAUGAUGAAACAGUGGCUGGUGUCAUAGGGCCAGCAGAUGAUGAAGCAGUGGCUGGUGUCAUAGGGCCAGCAGAUAUUGAAGCGGUGGCUGUUGCCGGAGCAGCUAAUGGUAUCUUUUCCACAAGUAAUGAACAAUGUGCUGGGAUGGUCUCUAGCAAUACUGAUAAAGUGUGUAUCUACAAAGAAUAUGAAUUUAAGGGUAAUUAAUAAAUUGUUUUAAUAAGAAUAUAAAAGUUUUUGCCAAAAACAUACAGGCCAGUCAAUAUUUCACUGCUGCUUGACUGUUGCUGCUGUCCUAUCCCUAGUA